GCUGAAAAUCCUCUCAUUUGGACAUAAUCAGAUUCAUUCUCUGGCUCCCACUGAAAAGACUUAGUUUCAGCUUUAAAAUUUCCUUUAAGGCCAGCUGACUUCAGAGAAUAAGUGAAUUAUAAUUCCACUUCGAGAGUUAAAAAGGAACUGAUUUAUAACCAAUGAAAAGGUUGUAAAUUUGGAUUCCUGAAGAAUGAGAUCUUGGAUUGCAGUGAAAUGAGAGGGGUGGGUCUUCUUUAAACAAGCCUCCUGCCCGUCCAGCGGGGCCAGUGCCCCCC
rnacentral:lncRNA from 1 species